rnacentral:piRNA from 1 species
UCCAAAGCCCGUGAGUGACAGUCCUCGAG